rnacentral:rRNA from 1 species
AUGAACGCUGGCGGCGUGCCUAAUACAUGCAAGUCGAGCGAACGGACGAGAAGCUUGCUUUUCUGAUGUUAGCGGCGGACGGGUGAGUAACACGUGGAUAACCUACCUAUAAGACUGGGAUAACUUCGGGAAACCGGAGCUAAUAUCGGAUAAUAUUUUGAACCGCAUGGUUCAAAAGUGAAAGACGGUCUUGCUGUCACUUAUAGCUGGAUCCGCGCUGCAUUAGCUAGUUGGUAAGGUAACGGCUUACCAAGGCAACGAUGCAUAGCCGACCUGAGAGGGUGAUCGGCCACACUGGAACUGAGACACGGUCCAGACUCCUACGGGAGGCAGCAGUAGGGAAUCUUCCGCAAUGGGCGAAAGCCUGACGGAGCAACGCCGCGUGAGUGAUGAAGGUCUUCGGAUCGUAAAACGCUGUUAUUAGGGAAGAACAUAUGUGUAAGUAACUGUGCACAUCUUGACGGUACCUAAUCAGAAAGCCACGGCUAACUACGUG